AUUGAACGCUGGCGGCAGGCCUAACACAUGCAAGUCGAGCGAGCGGCGGACGGGUGAGUAAUGUAUGGGGACUGCCCGAUAGAGGGGGAUAACUACUGGAAACGGUAGCUCAUACCGCAUACUAUCGGAUAACCCAUAUGGGAUUAGCUAGUAGGUGGGGUAAUGGCUCACCUAGGCGACGAUCCCUAGCUGGUCUGAGAGGAGGAUCAGCCACACUGGGACUGAGACACGGCCCAGACUCCUACGGAGGCAGCAGUGGGGAAUAUUGCACAAUGGGCGAAAGCCUGAUGGAGCCAUGCCGCGUGAGUGAAGAAGGCCCUAGGGUUGUAAAGUACUUUCAGUAGGGAGGCGUUACCGAAAGAGGAAGCAACGGCUAACUCCGUGCCAGCAGCCGCGGUAAUAC
rnacentral:rRNA from 1 species